GUGCUAACACCCACCUCUCUUUUUUCCCCAGCAGCUGGGCUGAUGGAGCGAUGAACCUCUGACCCACCACAUCUUCCAUUCUUCCAAUUCCCCCCCUGCAUGGUCAGCGUGAGAUAAGCAGUGGUGCGUGUGUAGAAAAAGAUGCCUGAAAAAAAACCCAAACCAAACACAUUUCCAGCUGACAUGUUCCCUGGACAUUUUGCAUCCAAGAAGUUCAUGAUAGAUCCAUGGAAUCACAGAACGUCCUGAGCUGGAAGGGACCCACAAGGAUCAUUGAGUCACAGAAUCACAGAAUCGACUGGGUUGGAAAAGACCUCAGAGAUCAUCCAGUCCAAGCCU